UCCUACGGGAGGCAGCAGUAAGGAAUAUUGGUCAAUGGACGCAAGUCUGAACCAGCCAUGCCGCGUGAAGGAUGAAAGUCCUCUGGAUUGUAAACUUCUUUUAUCUGGGAAGAAAUCUAUAAUUUCUUUAUAGUGACGUACCAGAGA
rnacentral:rRNA from 1 species